UAAAUAACAAGCAUAAAAAAUUUGAAAAAAAUCCAACUUACUAUUUGAAAAAAAGAACUACUAAUAUUCUUAGAUAUUGUCCAUUUUUCUUUUAAAAACUAAAUAUUGAUUUUUAUACAUCAAUUAUUUCUUAUUACAUAAUUUUAUUACUUUUUAAAUUAGAAAAAGUAUAAAUUUUCAAGCUCAAAAUGCUCUUAUAAACUUUUAAUUUAAUCAAAUCAAUGGAUUUUUUAAGAUCACAAAAAUCCUUACUAACUCAAAAAUUCAAAUAUCUAAGAUAUUUUUCUAAUAAAUUUUCCUAUCAAAGACAUGAAUCUUGAAGAAAGAAAUCCUCAAUAUACUCUUAUGAUAUUAAAAAGAAUUAGAAAGCUACUCAAAGAUGAUAUAUUAUUAAACUAAAAUGGCUAUUGCCAAAAACAAGAAGACUAGAAAGUCUAGAAACAAGACUAAAGACUA
rnacentral:lncRNA from 1 species